CCUACGGGUGGCUGCAGUGAGGAAUAUUGGUCAAUGGGCGCUAGCCUGAACCAGCCAAGUAGCGUGAAGGAUGACUGCCUUAUGGGUUGUAAACUCCUUUUUUAUGGGAAUAAAGUGCAGUAUGUAUACUGCUUUGCAUGUACCUUAUGAUUAAGGAUCGGCUAACUCCGUGCCAGCAGCCGCGGUAAUACGGAGGCUCCGAGCGUUAUCCGGAUUUAUUGGGGUUAAAGGGAGCGUAGGCGGGUUGGUAAGUCAGUUGUGAAAGUUUGCGGCUCAACCGUAAAAUUGCAGUUGAUACUGGCAUCCUUGAGUACAGGAGAGGUAGGCGGAAUUCGUGGUGUAGCGGUGAAAUGCUUAGAUAUCACGAGGAACUUCGAUUGCGAAGGCAGCCUGCUGGACUGUAACUGACGCUGAUGCUCGAAAGUGUGGGUAUCAAACAGGAUUAGAUACCCUGGUAGUC
rnacentral:rRNA from 1 species